rnacentral:rRNA from 1 species
AGAGUUUGAUCCUGGCUCAGAACGAACGCUGGCGGCAUGCCUAACACAUGCAAGUCGAACGAGUGCCUUCGGGUGCUAGUGGCGCACGGGUGCGUAACGCGUGGGAAUCUGCCCCUUGGUACGGGAUAACAGCGGGAAACUGCUGCUAAUACCGUAUGACGACGAAAGUCCAAAGAUUUAUCGCCGAGGGAUGAGCCCGCGUAGGAUUAGCUAGUUGGUGGGGUAAAGGCCUACCAAGGCUACGAUCCUUAGCUGGUCUGAGAGGAUGAUCAGCCACACUGGGACUGAGACACGGCCCAGACUCCUACGGGAGGCAGCAGUGGGGAAUAUUGGACAAUGGACGAAAGUCUGAUCCAGCAAUGCCGCGUGAGUGAUGAAGGCCUUAGGGUUGUAAAGCUCUUUUACCCGGGAAGAUAAUGACUGACCGGGAGAAU